AUGAGAAAGCCUGAGAUGUUCAACUACUUGAGAGAACUCAAAAUAUCUGACUGCCCAAAAUGCCAGAGUAUCCCUGUAAUAUGGCUCUCGGUCUCUCUAGAGAUUUUGGUCUUACAGAAGAUGGAUAACCUGAGAACAUUAUGUAAUAACUUUGAUGUGGAAGCUGGAGGAUGCAUUACUCCUCUGCAAAUUUUUCCAGGUUUGAAAAGGAUGAGGUUGAGUAAGUUACCAAGCCUAGAGAUAUGGGCAGAAAAUAGUGUGGAAAAGCCUCAUAUGUUUAACUGUUUGGAAGAACUCGAAAUGUCCGACUGCCCAAGAUGCAAGAGUAUACCUGUCAUAUGGUGCUCGGUCUCUCUGGAGAUUUUGUCCUUAGAGAGGAUGGAUAAUCUGACCACAUUAUGUAAUAAUGUUGAUGUGGAAGCCGGAGGAUGCAUUGCCCCUUUGCAAGUUUUCCCAAAGCUGAAGAAGAUGAGGUUAAUUGAGUUACCAAGACUAGAGAUAUGGGCAGAAAGUAGUGUGGGGGAGCCUAGUGAUAACUUGGUAACGUUCCCGAUGCUUGAAGAGCUAACAAUCAAAAAGUGCCCCAAGCUUGCAAGUAUUUCAGUGAUCCCCGUCAUCAACGACUUACAAAUAGUUGGGGUUCACAGUACUGUAGUUGGUUUAGUUUUUAAGGGCAUCCGUUUGGGCUCCUGGCCAUUUCUAGUUAUCUUAACUCUUGGGUCUCCGGAAGACAUACCCAUGUUGCCUCUAGGCGUCCAGCAAAGCCAAACUGAAAGACCUCUUGAAAAACUUAAGUAUUUGGAUCUGCAAGGCCCCAACAGCUUGGUCAGAAGCUGCCUAUUGUCCAGAUUACAACUUAUGGUUUGGAAAUGCUUUCCGUUCGUGGAGCAUUUGACGAUUAGCGGUUGCAGCAAUCUUGUCCGCUGGCCAACAGAGGAGUUCCGGUGCUUGGAUCGCCUCUGCUCUCUGUGUAUCGCGAAUUGUGAAAACCUGUAG
rnacentral:rRNA from 1 species